rnacentral:antisense_RNA from 1 species
CUUCACCGAUCCCAACCGCAAUGGGCGGUCCGCCGGGCGGCCCUGACCGUAAGUGGCUAGCAACGCCUGCGCCUC